CAGAACAAGGUAACUAUGGUGUCUCUAUGCAUCCUCUAGGGGUAAACAGAACAAGGUAACUAUGGUGUGUCUAUUCAUCCUCUAGGGGUAAACAGAACAAGGUAACUAUGGUGUGUCUAUUCAUCCUCUAGGGGUAAACAGAACAAGGUAACUAUGGUGUCUCUAUUCAUCCUCUAGGGGUAAACAGAACAAGGUAACUAUGGUGUCUCUAUGCAUCCUCUAGGGGUAAACAGAACAAGGUAACUAUGGUGUCUCUAUUCAUCCUCUAGGGGUAAACAGAACAAGGUAACUAUGGUGUCUCUUCAUCCUCUAGGGUUAAACAAGAACAAGGUAACUAUGGUGUCUCUUCGUCCUCUAGGGUUAAACAGAACAAGGUAACUAUGGUGUCUCUAUUCAUCCUCUAGGGGUAAACAGAACAAGGUAACUAUGGUGUCUCUAUUCAUCCUCUAGGGGUAAACAGAACAAGGUAACUAUGGUGUCUCUAUUCAUCCUCUAGGGUAAACAGAACAAGGUAACUAUGGUGUCUCUAUUCAUCCUCUAGGGGUAAACAGAACAAGGUAACUAUGGUGUCUCUAUGCAUCCUCUAGGGGUAAACAGAACAAGGUAACUAUGGUGUCUCUAUUCAUCCUCUAGGGGUAAACAGAACAAGGUAACUAUGGUGUCUCUAUUCAUCCUCUAGGGGUAAACAGAACAAGGUAACUAUGGUGUCUCUAUUCAUCCUCUAGGGGUAAACACAUGCAGGUCAUUAUUAAUGGGUUUCGUAUGUAAUAUGCCAAUUUCAGUUAUUUAUGCCUCCCAUUGUUGGGUAACUUGAGUUUCAUCCAAUCUGAGACUGGGAGGGUUUACUGUAAAUAUAGUUAGGUAGUAGUCUGACCUAGUGGUUGACUGGGUGGGUUUACUGUAAAUAUAGUUAGGUAGUAGUCUGACCUAGUGGUUGACUGG